rnacentral:rRNA from 1 species
GACGAACGCUGGCGGCGUGCUUAACACAUGCAAGUCGAACGGAAAGGCCCUGCUUUUGUGGGGUGCUCGAGUGGCGAACGGGUGAGUAACACGUGAGUAACCUGCCCUUGACUUUGGGAUAACUUCAGGAAACUGGGGCUAAUACCGGAUAGGAGCUCCUGCUGCAUGGUGGGGGUUGGAAAGUUUCGGCGGCUGGGGAUGGACUCGCGGUUUAUCAGCUUGUUGGUGGGGUAGUGGCUUACCAAGGCUUUGACGGGUAGCCGGCCUGAGAGGGUGACCGGCCACAUUGGGACUGAGAUACGGCCCAGACUCCUACGGGAGGCAGCAGUGGGGAAUAUUGCACAAUGGGCGGAAGCCUGAUGCAGCAACGCCGCGUGCGGGAUGACGGCCUUCGGGUUGUAAACCGCUUUCGCCUGUGACGAAGCGUGAGUGACGGUAAUGGGUAAAGAAGCACCGGCUAACUACGUG